rnacentral:rRNA from 1 species
ACCUACGGGAGGCAGCAGUGGGGAAUAUUGCACAAUGGGGGGAACCCUGAUGCAGCGACGCCGCGUGGGUGAAGGAGUAUUUCGGUAUGUAAAGCCCUAUCAGCAGGGAAGAACAAUGACGGUACCUGACUAAGAAGCACCGGCUAACUACGUGCCAGCAGCCGCGGUAAUACGUAGGUGGCGAGCGUUAUCCGGAAUGAUUGGGCGUAAAGGGUGCGCAGGCGGUCCUGCAAGUCUGGAGUGAAACGCAUGAGCUCAACUCAUGCAUGGCUUUGGAAACUGGAGGACUUGAGAGCAGGAGAGGG